GAUGAAGAACGUAGUGAAAUGCGAUAAGUAAUGUGAAUUGCAGAAUUCAGUGAAUCAUCGAAUCUUUGAACGCACAUUGCGCCCCUUGGUAUUCCGAGGGGCAUGCCUGUUCGAGCGUCAUUAUAACCCCUCAAGCUCAGCUUGGUGUUGGGGCCUGCUGCACUGGCAGCCCUUAAAAUCAGUGGCGGCGCCAUCUGGCUCUAAGCGUAGUAAUUCUUCUCGCUAUGGAGUCCUGGUGGAUGCUUGCCAUCAACCCCCAAUUUUUCUAUGGUUGACCUCGGAUCAGGUAGGGAUACCCGCUGAACUUAAGCAUAUCAAAGCGGAGGA
rnacentral:misc_RNA from 1 species